AGAGAGAAAGAGAGAGCGAGAGUUGAAUUGCACCAAUAUCGCGUUGGUGGGUCUUUGUUUGUUUGGUGGGUUAGUAGUAGUACUAGUAAUUAGGUGAGAUCUGCCCACCGGGUGGCCCACCGUCCCGCCCCGCCUUGCAACGAUUCUCUGUCGUCGUCGUCGUCGUCUUGACGUGGGCCAAGUUCGUUGCUCCGGCUUGGGCUCCGAGAGUUUCAACUGCAAAGCCACUCUUGGAGACCUGCAGAGAUUAUCCUCCUUAAUGGACCGAUUUGGUAACUGAGUAGUAGUAGUAGUCGUAGUAAUGGUAUAUACGUAAAUAUAAAGUAUGCUUCUAAUUUAGGAAUCGACAUCAGAAACUCAUACUUGGCAUAUGUUAAUAAAUGUUUGCUGUUUGUAAUUAGCUACAAGGUUGUCUCGUUUUUAAAGUGUAAAGGUAAAAUCUUCCAUGAUUGUGGUAUGCUUAUUACAUUGGCAGAAUACAAUGUAAUGCAUGAUUGAGAUUUUUCUUUUUCUUUUUUAGAGAUAUUUUGAGAAAUAGGGAAAUGGAGGAGGAGGAGGGACUUUCGCAGAGAAUCGGGGAUGGGGGGAAGGGGGGCUGUGAAGUGGUGGAGCUGUGGUGUUGGUGGUGUGGUGUGUGCAGGAGCUGCGUCUCGCAUGGGCCGGGGGGUCGAAAUUCUCGGGCACUUUCGAGUACUUUCGAGGAAUUCCGCCGGGCAACAGCAGCAGGAUUACUGCAGUUUUGCGUGCGGAAGCAUCCUACCGGACGGAAUCGCCACGCUUCCGUCUCCUCUUUCUGAUCUGUAACGGCGUGUUCGGGGAAAUCGCUGUAGGGAGGAGGUGUUGGAUAUGCUUGUCCAGCUUAUUUAGCCGUACGUAGUUCCAGUCUGGGGUUUUGAGAAAGUUGCAGUAAUGGUGUUUCGAUGGACUUCUGUUUAGAUUGGUGGCAUCAUUGCUGUCGGGCGAUGCGGUUUCUUGUUCGACCAUUGCAGUUGCUUUUAGACGCCAAUGCUUGGCAUGAAUGUCUUGAGUGUCUGGUAGCCUAAAACAGAGAGAUGAUGCAAUUGGUAUGUGGAUCUUCUCUGGUUUUAGAGGAAUCGUUCGCUGGCCUCCAGGUUCGAGACAAUCGUGCCAAGCUUUGUGCUUUCAAGAGCCUUAAUGGUUUUGGACGAUGGGUUCUACUGGAUCUCUAACAUCAAAGAUGUAUUGUCUUGAGAUAACCUGGUCAAAACAUUUGACGCAAGGAGGUGCAUCUGAAGUCCUGGUGGUAUUGUUGCUUUUCUUAGACCAUAACAUCUCUUGCUGCUUAUAUUUGUAUCCCUUUGCAGAGUUGAUGGACACCGAAACGGAUCAGGCGAGGGUGUAGGUCCGAUGCAUGCAACUAUAACACUGUCCUUAGCGUGUUCCCUGAAGCGGAGUAGAGUUUUAUGUGUUUGCCCCGUUGCAUGGAGAUGAUCAGGAAUGCUCACAUUGGUUUCCUCUGCUUCAGAAAUUGUAGCUUCUCAGUUUCGGAGACGUCUUAUAUGAUUCUUUUUAACCAGAGACUGGUUGGAGGGCAAUUGGUUACGCCGGACUCUAAUGAAGAGUGCAGAGUUAGUAUCUGCAGUGGAGUGGUGUUGCCGACUUUCCUGCACCCGGAUAUACGGUGCAAGUCUCUUCUUUACCAGUCCAGCACCGACAGUUUGACGACGCACUAGUUUUGAGUUUGCCUCUACUGCACAUUCUUGUUUAUCGGUGUAGCUCAUGAGUUAUCCUCAGGACGACGCUGGUAGCAGAAGACACUGUUAGAGUGAUUACAGGUAGUCUAGGCUUGUUUUAGGUACAAAAGAAUCAUAGCUCCCGUACAUUGGCUUCUAUGUCUUAGUUUUCAUAUCUCUAGAAAGCACUCCAUCUGCUGCUCCGUUGUACUGCGGAGUGCGAGUUUAAAGAUUUUUGUCGGGGUUGCAGCCUUUGAAUCUUAUAGAUGUUUGGUCACAUUCUACGAACUGGGCUUAUGAAAUUCUCUCUUCUUUGUUUGCUUCCUUCCUUACAGUAGAGUAGAGUCAUGAUCUUAUGCACAUACCCGAAACUCCCGAAACUGAACUGUGUGCCGACACCAAACUCAAUCAUGGAUUCAAAGUUGAA